rnacentral:rRNA from 1 species
GACGAACGCUGGCGGCGUGCUUAACACAUGCAAGUCGAACGGUAAGGCCCUUCGGGGUACACGAGUAGCGAACGGGUGAGUAACACGUGGGUGAUCCGCCCUGCACUUCGGGAUAAGCCUGGGAAACUGGGUCUAAUACCGGAUAGGACCACUGCCUGCAUGGGUGGGGGUGGAAAGCAUUUGCGGUGUGGGAUGGGCCCGCGGCCUAUCAGCUUGUUGGUGGGGUGAUGGCCUACCAAGGCGACGACGGGUAGCCGGCCUGAGAGGGUGACCGGCCACACUGGGACUGAGAUACGGCCCAGACUCCUACGGGAGGCAGCAGUGGGGAAUAUUGCACAAGGGGCGCAAGCCUGAUGCAGCGACGCCGCGUGAGGGAUGACGGCCUUCGGGUUGUAAACCUCUUUCAGCACCGACGAAGCGCAAGUGACGGUAGGUGCAGAGGAAGGACCGGCCAACUACGUGCCAGCAGCCGCCGUAA